CCUUAUGGUCUAGUCACCUCCCAAAGGCCCUUCCUACUGACACCAUCUUCGGAGGUAGUGAUUUCAAUAAAUGGAUUUUGGUGAAACAGAAGUAUUCAACCACAACACAGGAGGGAUUUUCAGACUACUUACCAGUGUGCUGCAGCUAGAAUAGUCUGAUGCUUCAUUGCCACAUGCACCAAUGCAGGAGGGAGGGCCAUCCAAGAUUUGGUGUACCCAUAGUUUAAAUGGCAUCUUUCCCAGAUGCUGUCUCUCAACACAGAAAGCAGCCUGCAAUUUCAUUUUUGAAACUUUCUGCAACAGUGAUUCCCUUGCCAGUGUAUUGAAGUUUAUGGAGAGAAUGUUUUUAAUCAACAAAGUGUACUGAAGUGAUGUACAAAGUUCCAGGAAGGAAUGAAACCCACCAGUGAGACAGAGUCUAACAAAGACAAAUGAGGGACUUUACUCAACGCCACUAGAAAGAAGGCAGGAUCUGUUAAGGGGACUCUGAUGGGGAAAGAAUAUGAAGAAGAAAAAAAAAAGCAGCAGUUCCUGAUAACAGAACAAAUGACAUGCAAAUGGUUUACAAAAUCACAUGCAAAUUAGCCUCAGAUUUAUCUGAAGAGGCUUAGAGUCAGGAGAACAUAGAGAUAAAGCUCAACAUCAGUGAAUGGUGGUACCAAAUCACAGAGAGGGGAGAGGACUUGCUUUGAUAGAUGCAGCUAACAUAGAGGGCCCACACAUCGUGAGCACUGGUUUCAGUGCUCCACGUGCAUUAACUCCUUGAUAGACGGAUACACCACAUGAACUAUGAGGUUUUCUUCCAUACUUACACAUUACAGAUGGGAAAAUUAAAGCUGAGAGAGGUAAGUAGCUUGCCCCCACACUGGGGUGCAAACCCAGGUAGCCUAGUCCCAAUGCAUCCCCAUUACCAUUUUGCUCUAUUGUCAGCCCCAAGGACCAUGGUAAACCAGCA
rnacentral:lncRNA from 1 species